GAUGAACGCUGGCGGCGUGCUUAACACAUGCAAGUCGAACGAUGAAGCCGGAGCUUGCUCUGGUGAAUUAGUGGCGAACGGGUGAGUAACACGUGAGUAACCUGCCCUUGACUCUGGGAUAACUGCGGGAAACUGUAGCUAAUACCGGAUACGACCCUCGGAGGCAUCUCCUGGGGGUGGAAAGAAUUUCGGUCAAGGAUGGACUCGCGGCCUAUCAGCUAGUUGGUGAGGUAAAGGCUCACCAAGGCGACGACGGGUAGCCGGCCUGAGAGGGUGACCGGCCACACUGGGACUGAGACACGGCCCAGACUCCUACGGGAGGCAGCAGUGGGGAAUAUUGCACAAUGGGCGCAAGCCUGAUGCAGCAACGCCGCGUGAGGGAUGACGGCCUUCGGGUUGUAAAUCUCUUUUAGUAGGGAAGAAGCGAAAGUGACGGUACCUGCAGAAAAAGCACCGGCUAACUACGUGCCAGCCGCCGCCGUAA
rnacentral:rRNA from 1 species